rnacentral:lncRNA from 1 species
CAUGCCCAGCCUCACACCAUGUUAAUUGUUUUAUCCAUCCUCAUCCAUACCCCACUUACCAUAGCAUGUACAAAAGGACAGAAAACAUAAACUCAUGCCUGGCAGAGAGCUUCUACUCUGAAGAAACAACAACCGAAGUGUCACAGGAUGAAUCUAUGCUAUUUGGAGAGGGAGUAUACAUUUAACUUGAAGCAAUCCCUGGAAGAAAAAUUCUACUAGCAGAGAUGCUCUGAGCAGAGAGAAAGCCUGUCUAUAUAGUGAAAGAAUGAAACCAAUACAUUGAAAAAAACUGAGAAGAGAAAGAGGUAGAGACUUCAUCUGAUACAAGCAUGCUUGAAACAAGAGACACCUGUAUGAUUCCAUCUUCCCAGGAGCUAGCAGGCAGUUCUUGUUGAGUUCAAGCCAGUUGAGACCAUCAACCCUUCAACUGAGCCUGCAUGGGUGCGUAAAGCAUGACCUUUUGAUGUCAAAGGGCCAAAACCUGCACCCUCCUUUCAUGCUAAUUCAACCAUUUUCUGAACAUGCAUCCUAUGAAGAGCCAUGUAGCUCAAUUACGCUUGUGCAGAAACCCUGAUUACCUCACCUUUCCCACCUGCCAAUCACCUUUACCCAUACUUCACACCAUCCUGCUUUCUAUCCCGCUAAUUACCCCUAAGCCCUG